UACGGAGGGUGCGAGCGUUAAUCGGAAUUACUGGGCGUAAAGCGCACGCAGGCGGAUUGUUAAGCUAGAGGUGAAAGCCCCGCGCUCAACGUGGGAAUUGCCUUUAGAACUGGCAGUCUAGAGUUUUGGAGAGGGGAGUGGAAUUCCAGGUGUAGCGGUGAAAUGCGUAGAGAUCUGGAGGAACAUCAGUGGCGAAGGCGACUCUCUGGCCAAAAACUGACGCUCAUGUGCGAAAGUGUGGGUAGCGAACAGG
rnacentral:rRNA from 1 species